UACGGAGGAUCCAAGCGUUAUCCGGAUUUAUUGGGUUUAAAGGGUGCGUAGGUGGCCUGGUAAGUCAGGGGUGAAAGACGGUAGCUUAACUAUCGCAGUGCCUUUGAUACUGCCGGGCUUGAAUAAACUAGAGGUAGGCGGAAUGUGACAAGUAGCGGUGAAAUGCGUAGAGAUUGGAAAGAACACCGAUGGCGAAGGCACUUUACUGGGCUAUUACUAACACUCAGAGACGAAAGCUAGGGUAGCAAAUGGG
rnacentral:rRNA from 1 species